rnacentral:lncRNA from 1 species
CCAUCAUCGUAGAGAUGUGGGUACUUUCCUAGCAUUGAUUGUUCUCGACUGGUUACAGUAGUUCAAUUGUAUCAAAAAAGUAUAACCACUCUAUGAGCAUUAGAUGUCCCAAGAUAGAGAUGGGGUUAGGCCCAAUAACUAUUAGGUGAGGGAUCAAUGAUGGCUUUGCGUUUGCUGGUGAAUGGUGGGUCUGACUUAACUAAGAAAUGUACCAAUAAUUGUUAGAUAAGGCACAAGACUUAGAGACUGAAUCUGCUGC